AGGGCUUGACAUCCUGCGAAUCCCUUGGAAACUAGGGAGUGCCUUCGGGAGCGCAGAGACAGGUGGUGCAUGGCUGUCGUCAGCUCGUGUCGUGAGAUGUUGGGUUAAGUCCCGCAACGAGCGCAACCCACGUCUUUAGUUGCCAGCAUUAAGUUGGGCACUCUAGAGAGACCGCCGGUGAUAAACCGGAGGAAGGUGUGGAUGACGUCAAGUCAUCAUGCCCCUUACGUCCUGGGCUACACACGUACUACAAUGCUACGGACAAAGGGCAGCAAACUCGCGAGAGCUAGCAAAUCCCAUAAACCGUGGCUCAGUUCAGAUCGUAGGCUGCAACUCGCCUACGUGAAGGAGGAAUCGCUAGUAAUCGCAGGUCAGCAUAAGCGGAAACCC
rnacentral:rRNA from 1 species